rnacentral:rRNA from 1 species
ACAUGCAGAGAACUUUCCAGAGAUGGAUUGGUGCCUUCGGGAACGUCUGACACAGGUGCUGCAUGGCUGUCGUCAGCUCGUGCGUGAGAUGUUGGGUUAAGUCCCGUAACGAGCGCAACCCUUGUCCUUAGUUACCAGCACGUUAUGGUGGGCACUCUAAGGAGACUGCCGGUGACAAACCGGAGGAAGGUGGGGAUGACGUCAAGUCAUCAUGGCCCUUACGGCCUGGGCUACACACGUGCUACAAUGGUCGGUACAAAGGGUUGCCAAGCCGCGAGGUGGAGCUAAUCCCAUAAAACCGAUCGUAGUCCGGAUCGCAGUCUGCAACUCGACUGCGUGAAGUCGGAAUCGCUAGUAAUCGUGAAUCAGAAUGUCACGGUGAAUACGUUCCCGGGCCUU